rnacentral:rRNA from 1 species
GAUUCUGGCUCAGAUUGAACGCUGGCGGCGUGCUUAACACAUGCAAGUCGAACGCGAAAGGGACUUCGGUCCUGAGUAAAGUGGCGCACGGGUGAGUAACGCGUGGAUAAUCUGCCCUUAUGAUCGGGAUAACAGUUGGAAACGGCUGCUAAUACCGGAUACGCUCAAAAUGAACUUUUUGAGGAAAGAUGGCCUCUGCUUGCAUGCUAUCACGUAAGGAUGAGUCCGCGUCCCAUUAGCUUGUUGGCGGGGUAACGGCCCACCAAGGCAACGAUGGGUAGCCGAUUUGAGAGGAUGAUCGGCCACACUGGAACUGAAACACGGUCCAGACUCCUACGGGAGGCAGCAGUGGGGAAUAUUGCGCAAUGGGCGAAAGCCUGACGCAGCGACGCCGCGUGAGGGAUGAAGGUUUUCGGAUCGUAAACCUCUGUCAGAAGGGAAGAAACUACGUUGUGCUAAUCAGCAGCGUACUGACGGUACCUUCAAAGGAAGCACCGGCUAACUCCGUGCCAGCCGCCGC